GACGAACGCUGGCGGCGUGCUUAACACAUGCAAGUCGAGGGAGUCCACACCUUCGGGGGUGAGGCGACCGGCGGACGGGUGAGUAACACGUAAGUGAUUUAUCCUCAUGCGGGGGACAACCCGGGGAAACCCGAGCUAAUACCGCAUGGUCGGACUGGCUGCAUGGCCGGACCGGGAAAGGUGGCCUCUUCAUGAAAGCUACCGCGUGGGGAGAAGCUUGCGGGCUAUCAGCUAGUUGGUGAGGAACGGCUCACCAAGGCAACGACGGCUAGGGGGUC
rnacentral:rRNA from 1 species